rnacentral:rRNA from 1 species
GACGAACGCUGGCGGCGUGCUUAACACAUGCAAGUCGAACGGAAAGGCCCUGCUUGCAGGGUACUCGAGUGGCAAACGGGUGAGUAACACGUGGGUGAUCUGCCCUGCACUUCGGGAUAAGCUUGGGAAACUGGGUCUAAUACCGGAUAGGAGCCAUCUUUAGUGUGGUGGUUGGAAAGUUUUUUCGGUGUAGGAUGAGCUCGCGGCCUAUCAGCUUGUUGGUGGGGUAAUGGCCUACCAAGGCGGCGACGGGUAGCCGGCCUGCGAGGGUGUACGGCCACAUUGGGACUGAGAUACGGCCCAGACUCCUACGGGAGGCAGCAGUGGGGAAUAUUGCACAAUGGGCGCAAGCCUGAUGCAGCGACGCCGCGUGGGGGAUGAAGGCCUUCGGGUUGUAAACUCCUUUCGCUAGGGACGAAGCUUUUUUGUGACGGUACCUAGAUAAGAAGCACCGGCUAACUACGUG